rnacentral:rRNA from 1 species
CAGCCGCCACGGGAAUACGAGGGUGGCAAGCGUUGUUCGGAAUUAUUGGGCGUAAAGGGUGCGUAGGCGGUUCAGCAAGUCUCGUGUGAAAUCUUCGGGCUCAACCCGAAGUCUGCACGGGAAAUUACUGGGCUUGAGUAAUGGAGAGGUGAGUGGAAUUUCCGGUGUAGCGGUGAAAUGCGUAGAUAUCGGAAGGAACACCUGUGGCGAAAGCGGCUCACUGGACAUUUACUGACGCUGAUGCACGAAAGCUAGGGGAGCAAACAGGAUUAGAUACCCCGGUAGUCCCUGUCUCUUAUAC